rnacentral:rRNA from 1 species
GUGUCAGCAGCCGCGGUAAUACGUAGGAUGCAAGCGUUAUCCGGAUUCACUGGGCGUAAAGAGUCGUGUAGGUGGUUUAUCGCAUCGUACUUGAAAGCCCGAGGCUUAACCUCGGCGUUGGGUACGAGAUGGAUAGACUUGAGGGUGGCAGAGGAAAGGGGAACUGAUGGUGAAGCAGUGAAAUGCGUUGAUAUCAUCAGGAACACCAAAGGCGAAGGCACCUUUCUGGGCCUCUCCUGACACUGAGACACGAAAGCUAGGGGAGCGAAGCAGAUUAGAUACCCGCGUAGUCC